CCCACAGUUCUUACUGGCAUGUCUCCAUUCUGUUUCUUAGGAGGACCACACGUGCUUUCUGUCACAUCAGGACCUCCACCUGAACUCCCAUCUUUGCUGAGAGAGAUCUCUGUCACGUGUCUGCCUGUCCUUCCUGGCCAAUCUUCGGUUUUACCUUAGAGUCAUUUUCAUCCGAGGAGGCUGUGCUAGAAUGUCAUGAUAUGCUACGAUACGAAGGGAAAGAGAGUGUGAGGGAUCCGGGUCUGGUGAACCGCAUCAGAGUACCGCAGGAUCCAUCAGCACCAGAGACAGACGUGUGGCACAGUCUCCUGUUAGAAUACCGCCAUGUGACGGUGACCAUCUUGCUAACGACACCAUCCAGACACUCUUCCCGCAGGACCUGGUUGAGAGCAGCUGAAAUUGCCCCUCAGCCUUGUGUGACAGGAACCCCAGCAAAGCAGCAGCCCAUGGCUUUUCUUCUGUGACCACUUAGGGCACAGGGACUUAAUAUUCACGGCGGUCAAGUCUGGCCUGAGCGAACUCUUUAAGCAGAGCUAAUGGAUUAUUGAUUUUCUCCGCUGUAAAAGCAUCAGGCUUUCUCGACUUAAAGAAGGAGACAGAGUUCUUUGUAGAAAAUGCAAGAAAAGGGAAUUACAUGCCGGAUGCUCACACUUCUGUAUCAGUUAUUAUUUGGGUGCCUCAUCUGGCCUUGAGAUGAGGGUUUGUGCCUGGUCUUAUUGUAGCUUGUCAUGCUGUGCUCAGUUGAUAUUCCUGGGAGGCCUGCUAUUUUCUGACGGGAAAUGGAAAAGUGGAUCUGGAGGAGAGGAAUUGGGAGUAGUGGAGGGAGCGGAAACUGUGGUCAGGAUCUAAUGUAUGAGAAAGAAAACCCCACAAACUGUUUAAAACCAUAGGUAUUGAAUUACGAAGUGAAGCCAAUAUUUUAAUUUGAGGGCCAAUUAAUUUUGAAGUUUUCUAAAUUUUAUUUUUUUAGUCAACAUACAAUGCAAUGGGUUUUUAUUAUGGCAUUUUCAUACACCUAUCUCAUUACUUUGCUCAUAUUUACCUUCCCAAUAUCCUGUCUUGUUCUCCCUUCUGCCAGUCUCUGAUUCCUCACAGUCUUCCUUGUUCAUUCAUGUCACACACACACACACACACACACACACACACACACACACACACACACUACAAACAAAAAAAAAACCCCUGGAUUUUACAAAUGAGAGAAAAUGUGAUGUUUGUCUUUCUGUUUCUAGUUUACUUUGCUUAACUUGAUAUCAAAUGCCAUCAAUUUCUUUGAAAAAAUGAUUUUCUUUUCCUUUAUGGUUUAAUAAAUGUUUAAUCUAGUUCUAUGUCUUGGAUAUUGUGAAUAGUGACACAGUAAAAAUGGAUUCACAGGUAUCUCUGUUGUAGCCAAUAUUUUAAAAAUAAAGCAGCAUAUCCAAUCA